ensembl:lncRNA
CGUAUUUUCGGCAAAAUCCAAAAAGGGAUUAACAGUAAAAGUUUUUACAGUAAAAGGAACUAUCAAAGGAUUUUACUGUCAAGCGCAGCAGGUUGCUAGGCAACAGGAGCAGCGGAGGUAAAGCUGAUGACGCAAGUAGGACGUCCCCCCCGUAGGCCAAGCUGUCCCAUUUCAGAGACCGCUCGGUUCACCCUAUGUGGUUGUUGGAGGACGCAGCCCAUGUAGACCAGAAGGCUGGUCCUACAAGGAUGCAGCCCAAUAAUUUGAGACAUGGCUUAUGACGGAUGGGACACACAGUGCGACAGGGAGAGGUGGAGGCUCCGCCCACACUGCAAGUGAGGACAGAAACCAACACAACAUGGAUCCAAAUGCAAAAUACUGUGGACGAGGACGGCGGCUUGAAGGGAACCGAGAGAACUAAAACCAGAAGGAUGAAGAUGUACGUGUUCUACA